rnacentral:rRNA from 1 species
UACGGGGGGGGGCAAGCGUUGUUCGGAAUUACUGGGCGUAAAGGGCUCGUAGGCGGCCAACUAAGUCAUACGUGAAAUCCCUCGGCUUAACCGGGGAACUGCGUCUGAUACUGGAUGGCUUGAGUUCGGGAGAGGGAUGCGGAAUUCCAGGUGUAGCGGUGGAAUGCGUAGAGAUCCGGAGGAAGACCGGUGGCGAAGGCGGCCUGCUGGGCAGUUACUGACACUGAGGCGCGACAGCGUGGGGAGCAAACAGG